CUAGAUAUAUGCAAAGAAUGUGUAUAGAAAGAUGAUGAAAACCCCGGGGGCGGGGGAGAGAAAAACAAAUGAUGAUAAAUAAAAAGAAAAAAUGCAUUGAAAACAGAGAAAAGAGACAAAGAAAACGGGAAGAAAACAAAGGAAAAAAAACAAUGAGAACCAUGAAAAGAAAGAAAAUAAAACAAAAUAAAAAGAAAGAAAGAAAAUAAAAAAAAGUAAAAUAGAGAAAAGAACAAAAGAAAUUGUGAGGAAACAAAAAA
rnacentral:lncRNA from 1 species